AGGGCUAGUUUAACGCAAAACAAAUGAUUUCGACUCAUUAAAUUUCAAUCACCGAAGCCUGCUACA
rnacentral:tRNA from 1 species